GAGGUGAUUUUGGGGUGAUUUUGAAGAGAUUCUGGGGUUCUGAGGGGGAUUUGAGGCGAUUUUGGGGUUCUGAGGGCGAUUUGGGCUGAUUUAGAGGCAAUUUUGGGGUUCCUGAUGGCAUUUUGGGUGUCUCUGGGGGUCUCUGGGCUGAUUUUUGGGGCGAUUUGGGCUGAUUUAGGGGCGAUUUUGGGGUUCUGAGGGGGAUUUGGGGUGAUUUAGAGGCGAUUUUGGGGUUCCUGACGGGAUUUGGGAUGAUUUUGGGGUUCCCGACAGGAUUUCGGGUGUCUCUGAGGGUCUCUGGGCUGAUUUUUGGGGCGAUUUGGGCUGAUUUAAAGGCAAUUUGGGGUCCUGAGGAGAUUUUGGGGGUCCUGAGGGGAAUUUGGGGGAGUUCUGAGGGGAUGUGGGGUUCCUGAGGAGGUUCAGGGUGUCUCUGAGGGUCUCUGGGCUGAUUUUUGGGGCGAUUUGGGCUGAUUUUGGGGUCCUGAGGGGAUUUGGGGUGACUCUGAGGGCCUUUGGGGUGAUUCUGAGGGGAUUUGGGCUGAUUUUGAGGCGAUUUUGGGGUUCUGAGGGGGAUUUGGGCUGAUUUAGGGGCAAUUUUGGGGUUCUGAGGGGGAUUUGAGGCGAUUUUGGGGUGAUUUAGAGGCAGUUUGGGUUCCUGACGGGAUUUUGGGUGUCUCUGAGGGUCUCUGGGCUGAUUUUUGGGGCGAUUUGGGCUGAUUUAGAGGCGAUUUUGGGGUUCUGAGGGGGAUUUGGGGUGAUUUAGAGGCGAUUUUGGGGUUCCUGACGGGAUUUGGGGUGAUUUUGGGGUUCCCGACAGGAUUUCGGGUGUCUCUGAGGGUCUCUGGGCUGAUUUUUGGGGCGAUUUGGGCUGAUUUAAAGGCAAUUUGGGGUCCUGAGGAGAUUUUGGGGGUCCUGAGGGGAAUUUGGGGGAGUUCUGAGGGGAUGUGGGGUUCCUGAGGAGGUUCAGGGUGUCUCUGAGGGUCUCUGGGCUGAUUUUUGGGGCGAUUUGGGCUGAUUUUGGGGUCCUGAGGGGAUUUGGGGUGACUCUGAGGGCCUUUGGGGUGAUUCUGAGGGGAUUUGGGCUGAUUUUGAGGCGAUUUUGGGGUUCUGAGGGGGAUUUGGGCUGAUUUAGGGGCAAUUUUGGGGUUCUGAGGGGGAUUUGAGGCGAUUUUGGGGUGAUUUAGAGGCAGUUUGGGUUCCUGACGGGAUUUUGGGUGUCUCUGAGGGUCUCUGGGCUGAUUUUUGGGGCGAUUUGGGCUGAUUUAGAGGCGAUUUUGGGGUUCUGAGGGGGAUUUGGGGUGAUUUAGAGGCGGUUUUGGGGUUCCUGACGGGAUU